rnacentral:misc_RNA from 1 species
GUGAUUUUCUAGCUGUCUUUUUAUAUGCACACAUUUGUCUUGUGUUUAUGAAAAUUCAUAGGGAAAAGAGCAUUCUUUAUAAACACUCGGGCCUCCCAUAAUCAUUAUUUAUAUGAAUCUAUAUUGUUAUAUAUUUAAGAGGAACUGCAAUUUUACCAUUGUAGGCAUAGAAUUGUUAUCAGUAUUUGCAAUGAAAUGUUUUAUGUCGUGACUUUUUAUGAAGUAUGUUUUUUAUUUUCUCAUGUAAACGUUUUAAUAUACAGUUCACUAACCAUGUUCAAUCCAAUUUAUGAUGUAACAAAAGGUAACUACUACAGUUUACCUAAGAAUUCGAAAUGUGAGUCAAACUUGAUGUUUAUUUAAAGGACUGCAUUCCAUCACAUAUCUCUGAUAUAAUGAUUGAACAUCAAGUGCAGACUUGAUGCUAAAUUAUUGUAAUGCCUACAAAUGUAUGUGGGAUCAAUAAAUUUGAAAAGAUC